CCUACGGGAGGCAGCAGUGAGGAAUAUUGGUCAAUGGGCGCGAGCCUGAACCAGCCAAGUAGCGUGAAGGAUGACUGCCCUACGGGUUGUAAACUUCUUUUAUAAGGGAAUAAAGUGAGGCACGUGUGCCUUGUUGUGUGUACUUGAUGAAUAAGGAUCGGCUAACUCCGUGCCAGCAGCCGCGGUAAUACGGAGGAUCCGAGCGUUAUCCGGAUUUAUUGGGUUUAAAGGGUGCGUAGCUGGGUUGGUAAGUCAGUGGUGAAAGUUUGCGGCUCAACCGGAACAUUGCGAUUGAAACUGGCAGUCUUGAGUAGAGUAGAGGUAGGCGGAAUUCGUGGUGUAGCGGUGAAAUGCUUAGAUAUCGCGAAGAACUCCGAUUGCGAAGGCAGCUUACUA
rnacentral:rRNA from 1 species